GCCAAGGAUCAACAGCUGCAGAACCAGACCUUUUUAUCUGUGUUGGCGACCUGUUAGUGUGUGUGCUCAACUGUAUCUAAGUGAACUGGCCAGGUGGUCCUUCACUGCCUUGGGACCAUUCCAACGAAAGGAUGGUGAGCUAGAACUCAAGCCAGGAGCCUGACGGUCCUUUUUCCUUGUCUUCAACACAAGUAAGGGUCUGGUAGGAGGCUCUGCAGCCUGUUUUUC